ensembl:lncRNA
GCAGUUAGAAACAAACUUUAUUGUUGCAGUUUGAAAUUAUUUACACAAUAUAAAUCUCUUUGAAAGGUACAUUACUUCAUUUAAUCAGUGGUAGAAGGCCUUAUAAUAGCUUCAAUAACAUUUAGUUCAAAAGAAAUACAAUUUCACUCCAAUGGAUAAAUGAUUCAUCUAAACUUCACAACAUACAAGAAGGGUCAUGGGGACUUUUGAAGGGAUGACAGUGCUGGAAGAUGACAAACACUUACUUGUAAAUUGAGCUUAUUUUAUUCACAGGACAUGAAUGGACUCAUGUUUAGAAGAACACUGAAAAAUAUGCAGUAACAAAAAAAAAAAAAAAAGACACAAAAGAGAAUAUAUCCCUAAUAUGCUAUGGCCCAGUUUCUGCAAGUAAAGGGUUUUAGAUAGUUGGAUCAAGAGGCUUGAGACAGAACCAAUCAAUCUAACUUUUAAAUCAUAUUUUAAAAAGAUUGGAUACAUUCUUGGUGCUGAGACUAUUCAAAGCACUUGUGUACAAAGCAGCAUUAUUAACUACCACAGACUGCAUUUGAGAUACAAAAUGUUAAAAGGAACAUUUCUACCAAAAAAAUUAUAAUCUUUCACACAUUGAAGAUGUGACACCUACCAUUUUCUGAUAACAAGAAUUACUAUUAGCAAAAGCUUAGAAACAUAGACUUUUUUCCAGUUCACGCUGCAUUUUGUACAGUAUUUUUCAUGUUUCUCUUCCAUGGUCUCUCUUACCUUGUGCUUUGCACGGAUCUUUAUGUGGGGAAAAAAACAUUUAACAUAGGAAAAAUGCAGCUGCAAUACCACAAAACCAGGCUGGUGCGGUACCUGAAGUUAUUUCUCAUUUAUGAAGUUAUUUAUUUUAUGAAGUUAUUUCAGCAUUUAUUUUCAAAGUUUGGCAGAUUUCAAGUAACUUAAAUUCGCUUUCUAAAUGUUCACUCGACUUAUUUCCAACCAAGUUUUCUCUGCAUAAUCUCCAUAAACAUCACAUCAAACUCAUUUGGGAAGGCCAUGAAUUAAGUUCCUCACCACAGGGAACCCAAGACAGCAGCUCAACAAUUUUAGGCAGCUACAGAAACAGCUGAUGUAAAACAUCAAACCAGAAGUUUGGUCAUCUAGUGAAGCCUGGCACCUGUUCUAAGGCCAUAAAUGGGCUUCAGGGCCAUUCCAACUAGUUUUCUGACAUUACACAAUAAUAAAACCCUUUAUCAGCAAGAAUGGUGCAGACUACCACCGAUACACAGAAAAAAGCCCAACACACACUUAAGGGUUGCAAAUUAACUACACAAGGGUUUGCGUUUUUUAAAUAAUCUUUUGGAACAUUUCUUCUCUCUCCCCCCAGGUUGACUGGUUUCCGAAUCACAGAGCUUACCAUCUCUAAAGGUCAGACCGAAUUGGAAUAGCCACUUAAAAAUAAACAAACAACGCUUUUUCCAGUGUCUCAUCCCAACACUUAGAUGGAGCACCUCCAUGCAAUGGCAUGUGCAAACAUUCCACACCAGAGGUCCGUAAGCCACAGUUUGGUUCCAUUCAACAUGUCCCAUCUGGAUUUGUGUGGUUUCUCACUGCCACAAGCCUCCUUCUUAAAAGUUUUGUGGCUGGCUAAUGGAAAUCCUACCUUGUACAAGACCAAAUGUUUUUGGCUUUUUAUAUCUUUUACAACUAAUGAAAACAAUCAGCUUCCAGCCCACAGAAAUAAAAUGGGGGGAGGCAGGGGGAAGGUGUAAGUAUUAGCUGCAAUUCUGCUCAACAUCGGCCUUGCAUUACCUCAAGGUUUGGUCAAAUGCUUCUGUUCUACUACUACAGUUGCAACCUGCAUGGAGUGGAAGAGAUGAUAGGAGACAGUAGCUAAUUCCAGUGGUUUAGUAAUCUAGCACACCUUAGAAGGCAUCCAAGAACACAGUAAACAAUACAAAAACAUGGAGACAAAUCAAGACUAGACAGCCACCUCAAACACAGACAGGUGAGAUGUGGCAAACCUCCUCUGCAAACUGCAGGAAGGACUAUCUCAAGCAAGAGAUACAUUCCACUGGGCUAUGGAGCAAACUUAUUUAAUCAGAGUUACCAAAAUUUGUUUGAAGACUUCUAUUUGGGAGGAGUAACAAAAGGUUAUUCUGUAAGCUUCUGUUAGAUACCAAAGGCUUUAAAAAAAAAAAAAAAAAAAAAAAGUCUGAACUUCAUUUUGAAACAAAUAUUACCCUUUGCAAUUCGCUCUAAUCCUUAAAACAUGCAAGCAAACAAGCAUAUCCAAUACCUUGCUACAUCAGAAACUUAAGCUUGGAUUUCCUUGUGAAUUAUUUCCUUUUACUUACAUUUACUGGGCCCAUCCUUCCUCUUGACUAAUCUUUAAUAAACUCACUUCCCAGGACCCUAGUAACUUAAAACAUCAACAUUGAUAAGCAUGUGUACCUGUCAUCUGGUGCAGGUAAAGCUGACAGGGUGCUCGAACUGUAUCAAGAUCCAUCUGUCAGACAAUGAGACUUUCACAUCAGUAUUUUUCAGCAGUUACUAAACACAGCAGUGACAAGAAUAAACUAAGAGCUUUAAGGGUCCUAUGGACUUCAAAAUGGACAGUGAAAGGCAACAGUAAUUAAAUAUAGUUAGGAAUUUGGGGAAAACUAUGCUUCAUUAUGUCUAUGCUUCCAAGAUUAAAGGCCUCUUCAGAAAGGGACUUCCUACACAAAAAAAAAAAAAAAAAAAAAAUCUGAUGAGAAGUCACAUACUGACAAAACAGAAGAGUUUUCAAAAAGGAAAUAGUGACGAUUACGUACAGAAAGGAACCUUUUCUAUCCAUGUGUCCCCUAACGAUGAAAGGUGUGGGCACAGAGAGGAGGACGAAGGAGUGGCACACAAGGAAAACACCUAGGUUAAGUUUCAAGUAGUCUAAAGGGGCUACCAAUAAGCCUAGUGCGGAAGAAAACAUGGCAGAACUAUUUUAGUGAUUUGGGCAUUUAUCAUAAGCAUUUACAAGUUAACAACUCACCCUAUUAUAAGGCUAUAUCCACCAAAAACCUUUUAAGUUGGGGGACUUCUAUCACAACUAACUCAAUUGCUGUCACCAUGGGAGCACACUCAAUUCAACAUGCUCACGUUUAGAAGUCACCAGCAUUCAAGAACGUAUAGGAAAUUUUUGGAAGUAAACAAAUUUAACAGCUUUCCCUACACCACAGGUACUACACGUACCUCUGACACAUAGUUUGCCCUAUUAUUAGAACAGACUUUCUCUUCAUCUUAGUACUGCAUCAAUUCCUUUAUUCCCAGAAUCAUUCCCAAGAGCAAGAUGACAAAAAAGCUAACAGGGAAGAGAAAAGACACUGGAUGCCCAAGGCUAUAAAUGGAUACCUUAACAUAAAGCUAUUAUGCUCUGUUACAGGUCAAUUUAACAAAAGAAGUUCGCACACAGAGUUAGAUUUCUUCUUUACAUCAGAAUUUCUACAAAAUAGGAGAGAAUACAAUGCAAUACACAAGUCCAUAAAUGCAAGAUACAGUACAAUUCACACUAAUUUACAAAUGGUUAUUUACACUGUUGUAUAUACACAUACAGUCAGACCUGGUUAAUGCAAAUUUUUUUAAGUCCUUUUAAAAUGCAAAUCAAAAAGUGUCAAUGAAGGAAUUCAAAGUUAUGUGACAAAAGACCAGUUACCAUUCAGAAAUCUUUAAUGCUUCGGUGACCUAAGGAAUCAGCCAUGGAAUAGCCAGAUCUGACUGCAGAAAUGAGAAGAAAAAAAUUCACACUAUUCUGCUUUACAAAAGCAACCAGGCCACUAUGGUCUAUUGACUUGAUGCUAUUUAUGCAAGAAUGCCCUUACUAAUAACCCUCUUCAUAUUUACAAUAUAGGUUUAACUACAGUAAGGAUUAUUAAUUUCGGCAUUCAUGCCCUUAGCUUAACAUAAAGGCAACAGAGUAUCUUCUUGGCAAAUCACAGUCAAAACUAAUACAGGAUGUUUCUAGAGCUCAGUCAUUUGAAAUAUCUUAACAUUGCUAUUGAAGAGACGGAGAUAAAUUAAUUGAAACGAGUACAUGUUCUCUAGUUCGGUGCUCUAGUACCUAACUUACAUUCAGAAUGUCCUGUAUUCACAGUUUCAAGCUACCUUACGAUCUGCAACGCUAUUGCAAACUACUGCUUCAAACUUAACACAUCUGGGAGAUAUCCCUUAACAAGCAACAAUAUCCGAGUGCUACCGGCUCAUACUGAUGUGGAACAAGGCUCAAGGUAACCGGCAUUUCAUUUCGGAAAAUGUGUUACAGUACUUCCUCAGAACUUAACAAGAAUUGUUUUAAUCUGCAUUUGUCUUGAAAGAAAGCUGAUGCAAAGCAGCAUUUCAGUGUGUAAAAUGAAUUUCAACAUGCAAAAUGAAAGCCUCUACCAGUACUGCAAAGUCAACCACUGUAACCUGUGAUAAUCCUUGUGCUUCUUCGAAGUGGCUCAGGAAAAGCUUGCAGUAUUUACUAUCUGCUUCAAAGUGCUUUUAAGAGAUUCAGUGGAAAUUCAUUCCACAAGGAGAUUGAGCUGCACUCAUGAAGAGCUUUGGUUCUGCAGAAGCAAGCUUCAACUCCUACAGUUAUUGCUACUUGAGCUAUACAAACAAAAAUACUACCGAAAAAAAAAAAUCACACUAACUCCCAACCUAAAUAGUACUGGUACCUAAAAAGGGAAUGUGUUUUGCCAACUGUUGGGAAAGUUAGGAGCUGUCAAGUGUUGGAUUUCCCAGGACCAAGUGAACUUCACAGUCUUUUUCAAAUAUUUCACAAAUACAAAGCAACACUGCCAGAAAUAAAGCCACCACUUGAAGAAAAUAGUAGUUAAGAGUUCAAAUAUCUUUAUCAUACUUCCAGAGCAGAUCUUGCUGAACUUAAAGGAACUACCAAGACAGCAGGGUAUUACCCAACAUACAUCGAUAAUAUCAACAGGGAGAAAGUACAGAAAAUUAAAGUCUUCAGUGCAUUCAUGAGCUCUAGCAACAUCCUUGAAAACUGCUACAAAGAAAACUGUGCCUAUUUUAGCUAUUUGUUUGUAUUUAACUACCAAGAAAAUUUGUCCAGCAUAGUAGCCUUCAGCUAAUAAAUGCUAACAAAAAUGGUUACAGAAUUUCAAGUUACCAAAAAAAAAAAAAAAA